rnacentral:rRNA from 1 species
AGGACGAACGCUGGCGGCGUGCUUAACACAUGCAAGUCGAGCGGUAAGGCCUUUCGGGGUACACGAGCGGCGAACGGGUGAGUAACACGUGGGUAACCUGCCCUGUACUUUGGGAUAAGCCCGGGAAACUGGGUCUAAUACCGGAUAUGACUGCAUCCUGCAUGGGGUGUGGUGGAAAGUUCUGGCGGUACAGGAUGGGCCCGCGGCCUAUCAGCUUGUUGGUGGGGUGAUGGCCUACCAAGGCGACGACGGGUAGCCGGCCUGAGAGGGCGACCGGCCACACUGGGACUGAGACACGGCCCAGACUCCUACGGGAGGCAGCAGUGGGGAAUCUUGCACAAUGGGCGAAAGCCUGAUGCAGCGACGCCGCGUGAGGGAUGACGGCCUUCGGGUUGUAAACCUCUUCGACCGGACGAAGCGUGAGUGACGGUACCGGUAGAAGAAGCACCGGCUAACUACGUGCCAGCAGCCGC